GACGAACGCUGGCGGCGUGCUUAACACAUGCAAGUCGAGCGGUAAGGCCCUUUCGGGGGUACGACGAGCGGCGAACGGGUGAGUAACACGUGGGUGACCUGCCCUCAGCUCUGGGAUAAGCCUGGGAAACCGGGUCUAAUACCGGAUAUGACUCCAUGACGCAUGUUGUGGGGUGGAAAGCCUUGUGCGGCUGAGGAUGGGCCCGCGGCCUAUCAGCUUGUUGGUGGGGUGAUGGCCUACCAAGGCGACGACGGGUAGCCGGCCUGAGAGGGCGACCGGCCACACUGGGACUGAGACACCGGCCCAGACUCCUACGGGAGGCAGCAGGUGGGGAAUCUUGCGCAAUGGGCGAAAGCCUGACGCAGCGACGCCGCGUGAGGGAUGA
rnacentral:rRNA from 1 species